rnacentral:rRNA from 1 species
CGGGUAGGUGGUUGUGUAAGUUGGUUAUGAAAGCUCCUGGCUAAACUGGGAGAGGUUGACCAAGACUGCAGAACUUGAGUGGAGAAGAGGUAAACGGAAUUCCGCGUGUAGUGGUGAAAUGCGUAGAGAUGCGGAAGAACACCAGUGGCGAAGGCGGUUUACUGGUCUCCAACUGACACUGAGCCGCGAAAGCAUGGGUAGCGAACGGGAUUAGAAACCCCGGUAGUCCAUGCCGUAAACGAUGCACACUAAACGUUCGUAAUCCGCGAGGGUUGUGAGUGUUGAAGCUAACGCGAUAAGUGUGCCGCCUGGGGAGUACGGUCGCAAGGCUAAA